rnacentral:rRNA from 1 species
GACGUAGGGGGCGAGCGUUGUCCGGAUUUAUUGGGCGUAAAGCGUGCGUAGGCGGCUGCGCAAGUCGGGUGUGAAACCCCGGGGCUCAACCCCGGAACUGCAUCCGAGACUGCGUGGCUAGAGGUAGGUAGGGGAGAUCGGAAUUCCUGGUGUAGCGGUGAAAUGCGCAGAUAUCAGGAGGAACACCGGUGGCGAAGGCGGAUCUCUGGGCCUUACCUGACGCUCAGGCACGAAAGCUAGGGGAGCGAACAGG